AGUCCUAUGGUGUUUACAUAUCAGAUUGCAAACCUGAAGUUGUAGGGGUGACCCUGCUGGGGCUU
rnacentral:tRNA from 1 species